UGUUUCGGCUAGGGGGUCAUCCCGACUUACCAACCCGAUGCAAACUACGAAUACCGAAGAAUGUUAUCACGGGAGACACACGGCGGGUGCUAACGUCCGUCGUGAAGAGGGAAACAACCCAGACCGCCAGCUAAGGUCCCAAAGUCAUGGUUAAGUGGGAAACGAUGUGGGAAGGCACAGACAGCCAGGAUGUUGGCUUAGAAGCAGCCAUCAUUUAAAGAAAGCGUAAUAGCUCACUGGUCGAGUCGGCCUGCGCGGAAGAUGUAACGGGGCUAAACCAUGCACCGAAGCUGCGGCAGCGACACUAUGUGUUGUUGGGUAGGGGAGCG
rnacentral:rRNA from 5 species